CUAAAUUUAAUUCAGCUCAACACACUCAGCACAGUGGUGGAGAAAAACAUCAUGUAAGACGUGUCUUUAAAUUCAGGAGUUCAAACUUAUUCAUCCCUGGACACAGCUUGGAAACCAGAUGAUGGCUAAAAUGAUGAGCAAAUGGGUGUAGCUAACACCUUUGCUCAUAUGAUUUUAUUUAUUCAUGAGAGACACAGAGAAAGACAUAGAGACCCAG